CAGUCGCCGCGGGAAUACGUAGGUGGCAAGCGUUGUCCGGAAUUAUUGGGCGUAAAGGGCUCGCAGGCGGUUUCUUAAGUCUGAUGUGAAAGCCCCCGGCUCAACCGGGGAGGGUCAUUGGAAACUGGGAAUCUUGAGUGCAGAAGAGGAGAGUGGAAUUCCACGUGUAGCGGUGAAAUGCGUAGAGAUGUGGAGGAACACCAGUGGCGAAGGCGACUCUCUGGUCUGUAACCGACGCUGAGGAGCGAAAGCGUGGGGAGCGAGCAGGAUUAGAUACCCCAGUAGUCCCUGUCUCUUAUAC
rnacentral:rRNA from 1 species